AGGGCCCAAGAUCUCCAAAUCUCUCUUCCUAGGUUGAAUUAGACAUUCACCAAUCAUAUCCUUGAGUUUUUCAUGCUGAACCAUGACGUCAAGAACUCUAUCCUCAAGCAUUACUCCACUCCUCUUGAGCUUAUCGCUUUCAGAAUUUUUAUUUGAGAAAACCAGUUCAGAUAACCGAUUCUUUUCUGCUUGUUUGCGAUAUUUGGUGCAUUCAGGGGUGCCCUGGGCAAGAAGAUGAUAAGUAAAAACAACUUUCUUUUGUCCAAGUCUAUAUGCUCGGCAAAUAGCUUGCCUUUCCACUGAUGGAUUCCAAACAACAUCAAGAAGCACGACCCUUGAAGCUCCGAUUAAGUUAAUGCCUUCAGAAGAUGCUUUUAUAGAAGCAAGUAACACCUUUGCUCGGCUCUUUGCAUCAUUGAAACUAUAAAUGAGGGAGCAGCUGAGGAAAAGGGAUGGAUGGACUGAGACCAAGGCCAAUUUGUGUUCAAAGUUUAGUACGUUUUGAGAGCAUUCAAUGCUCUCUAGAGUUUCUUGCUGCAAAAUGUCUGGCUUCAGAACCAGCACACAUUCUCUCAACCCAGGAAGGUUCUUCUCAAGAAUGCUACCUUUGUGAACAUGAACAAAGGGGUUCAUCAACACUUUCAGCUGGUUUAUUUUUAC
rnacentral:sRNA from 1 species